GGGGGGGGGGGGGGGGGGGGGGGGGGGGGGCGGGGCGGGCGAGGAGGUGAGGAGCUUGCUCCUCUGGCGUUAGCGGCGGACGGGUGAGUAACACGUGGAUAACCUACCUAUAAGACUGGGAUAACUUCGGGAAACCGGAGCUAAUACCGGAUAAUAUAUUGAACCGCAUGGUUCAAUAGUGAAAGACGGUUUUGCUGUCACUUAUAGAUGGAUCCGCGCCGCAUUAGCUAGUUGGUAAGGUAACGGCUUACCAAGGCAACGAUGCGUAGCCGCCCUGAGAGGGUGAUCGGCCACACUGGAACUGGGACACGGUCCAGACUCCUACGGGAGGCAGAAGUAGGGAAUCUUCCGCAAUGGGCGAAGGCCUGACGGGGCAACGCCGCGUGAGUGAGGAAGGUCUUCGGAUCGUAAAACUCUGUUAUUAGGGAAGAACAAAUGUGUAAGUAACUAUGCACGUCUUGACGGUACCUAAUCAGAAAGCCACGGCUAACUACGUG
rnacentral:rRNA from 1 species